CAGUAGCCACGGGAACACAGAGGGUGCGAGCGUUAAUCGGAUUUACUGGGCGUAAAGCGUGCGUAGGCGGCUUUUUAAGUCGGAUGUGAAAUCCCUGAGCUUAACUUAGGAAUUGCAUUCGAUACUGGGAAGCUAGAGUAUGGGAGAGGAUGGUAGAAUUCCAGGUGUAGCGGUGAAAUGCGUAGAGAUCUGGAGGAAUACCGAUGGCGAAGGCAGCCAUCUGGCCUAAUACUGACGCUGAGGUACGAAAGCAUGGGGAGCAAACAGGAUUAGAUACCCGCGUAGUCCCUGUCUCUUAUAA
rnacentral:rRNA from 1 species